CCUACGGGAGGCUGCAGUGGGGGAUAUUGCACAAUGGGGGAAACCCUGAUGCAGCGACGCCGCGUGUGGGAAGACGGUCCUCUGGAUUGUAAACCACUGUCCCCAGGGACGAAGAUGACGGUACCUGGGGCGGCAGCUCCGGCUAACUACGUGCCAGCAGCCGCGGUAAUACGUAGGGAGCAAGCGUUGUCCGGAAUUACUGGGUGUAAAGGGGGCGCAGACGGCAAUGCAAGCCAGGAGUGAAAGCCCGGGGCCCAACCCCGGGACUGCUCUUGGAACUGCAUGGCUGGAGUACAGGAGGGGCAGGCGGAAUUCCGAGUGUAGCGGUGAAAUGCGUAGAUAUUAGGAGGAACACCGGUGGCGAAGGCGGCCUGCUGGACUGUGACUGACGUUGAGGCCCGAAGGCGUGGGGAGCAAACAGGAUUAGAUACCCCGGUAGUC
rnacentral:rRNA from 1 species